rnacentral:rRNA from 1 species
AAUUCAUGACAUUAGGGUAAAUUGACAAAUCCCAUAUAGAAGUGUAACAGCCCCUUCAGAAAUGAGGGGGGUGUCUUCGCGGGAUGUACGGUAAAAGUCCGUAGCCUUUUUUGGUAUUACCACAACUCUUCUGUGUACCUAUUACUUGUUGCUUCCCUGGGGUAACUCAAGGAAGGCAUACAUACACUCUGCUUAUUGAAGUCAGUCUGAACUUGUUUAUUUAUAAACGUUAAAACUUUCAACAACGGAUCUCUUGGUUCUCGCAUCGAUGAAGAACGCAACGAAAUGCGAUAAGUAGUGUGAAUUGCAUAAUUCAGUGAAUCAUCUAAUCUUUGAACGCACAUUGCGCCCUCUGGUAUUCCGGAGGGCAUGCCUGUUCGAGCGUCAUCGAAACUACUCAAGCAAACGUUUACCUUCCGCUUGGUCUUGAAAUUGGAAUUGAAUUUUUCCUUGUAGUAACUUUACCCGUUGAAAGCAUGUUCACAUUCCGCCAUAACCCCCUAUAUUUUAUAGUUUGACCUCGGAUCACGUAGGGAUACCCGCUGAACUUAAGCAUAUCAAUAAGCGGAGGAAAAGAAACCAACAGGGAUUGCGUUAGUAAAUGCGAGUGAAGCGGCAAAAGAUCAAAUCUGAAAUCUGGGGCCUCACAGCCUCCGAAUUGUAAUUUCGCGCUACGUUUUAGAUUGACGGCUGUGCUUUAAGUUCCUUGGAACUGGACGUCACCGAGGGUGAGAAUCCCCUGAUAGGUGGAGCCUGAUGCAUAUGAUACGUAUUCAACGAGUCGAGUCGUUUGGGAAUGCAGCUCAAAAUGGGUGGUAAAUUUCAUCUAAAGGUAAAUCUUGGCGAGAGACCGAUAGCGCACAAGUAGAGUGAUCGAAAGAUGAAAAGCACUUUGAAAAGAGAGUUAAAAAGUACGUGCAAUUGCUUGAAAGGGAAGCGCUUGAGACCCGACUCAAUCUGUGGUGAUCAACUUGGCUUAUGUCAGGUGCACUUGCCACUUAUUGGGACAGCAUCGGUUUAGGCGGCGGGAUAAAGUCUUGAGGAAUGUAGCUAUAUUCGGGUAGUGUUAUAGCCUCUUGAGUAAUGCUACCAGCCGGGACCGA